rnacentral:rRNA from 1 species
UCUUGAAAUUUAAAAGAUUUGGCGGUAUUUUAGUCUUUUUAGAGGAACAUGCCCUAUAAUUGAUAUUCCACGAUUAAUUGUACUUAAAUUAAAAGUUUAUAUAUCGUCGUAGUUGAAUACCUUAUAAGAGGAAAAGUAUUCAAUAUUUAUAAUUUAAUGAAUAAAAUCAGAUCAAGAUAUAGCUUAUAUUUAAGAAGAGGUGUGUUACAAUAAAAUUAUUUAUGGUUAUGGUUAUAAUAAUUAAAAUUAUUAUAUAAAGUGGAUUUAAAAGUAAUAUAUUUAAGUUAAAAUAUAUGAUUUCAGCGCUGAAAUAUGUACAUAUCGCCCGUCGCUUCCAAUGAAUUUUAAGUUGGAAUAAGUCGUAACAUAGUAGGCGUACCGGAAGGUGUGCCUGGUUUGGCAAAUUAAAGCUUUAUAGGAGUAUUUUAUUUACAUUAAAAGGGUAUUUGUGAAAUUCAAAUUGAUUUGAAUUUAAUUAUUUAUUUAUUAAGAUUUAAUUUAUAAUAUUUUAAAAAAAAUAUUUUUAUGUUUUUUUAUUAGUUAAGAUAAAAUUAUUAUUAUUAUAGUUUAUUAGUAUAGUGUUAGACUAUUGAAAAAAAUGAAAAUUAUAAAUUUUAAAAAGAAGAAUUUAAUUUUUGUACCUUGUGUAUCAGGGUUUAUUAAAUAAUAAUUAUUAAAAUUUAAUUUUCUCGAAUUUAAAAGAGUUAAAAAAUUAUAGAUUUUAUUGUAAAAUAAAUAUUUAAAAUAAUUUUUUAGUAAUGAAACGUUAUUCGUUUUUAAAUUUAUCUAGUUUUUUAAGAAAUAAAUUUAAUUUAGUUAUUUAUUUUAAUAUGAAUAAUUUGUUAUUUUAUAUUAAUAUAUAUAGUUAAUAUUUUAAGGGAUAAGCUUUAAAAUAAAAUUUUAAAAAUAAAUAUAAAUUUAAUAUAAAUUAGUAGGAUUAGAAUUUUUUAUUUUUAAUAGUAUGUUAUAAUAAAUUUAUAGUAAAAUUUAAUUUUUAUAUAGUUUUAAAUUAUUUAUUAAAAUUAUUUAUUUAAUAGUAUAUUAUAGGAAAUAAUGAUAAAAUUAGUAUAAAUUUAAUGUUUAAUUAAUGUAGUAGUUAAGAUUAAAUUAAGGAAUUCGGCAAAAAUUUUUUCUGCCUGUUUAUUAAAAACAUGUCUUUUUGAUUAUAAUUUAAAGUCUAACCUGCCCUAUGAAUAAUUUAAAUGGCCGCGGUAUUUUGACCGUGCAAAGGUAGCAUAAUCAUUAGUUUUUUAAUUAAGAACUGGAAUGAAUGGUUGGACAAGAAAAAUACUGUCUCAAUUUAAUUUAAAUUAGAAUUUUAUUUUUAAGUUAAAAAGCUUAAAUAUUAUUAAAAGACGAGAAGACCCUCUAGAGUUUCAUAUUAAAAAUUUUAAAGCAAUUUUAAGAAUUUAUAAUUUUA